rnacentral:lncRNA from 1 species
GCUACUCAGGAGGCUGAGAUGGGAGGAUCACUUGAGCCUAUAAACCAAUCUGAGCAACAUAGCAUGACCCUGUCUCAGAAAGAACAAAAGAAUCAUCAUUAAGUACCAGAGGAAUGAUAGGAUUAGGAAGACAUCAUUUUUCCACCUCUAAUGAAAUAAUGGAUCUAGGCGGUUAACAGUAUUAGAUGAAAAGUUGAGGGUGGGGGGCAUUUUAUUGCAUGGCUCUGUUUGGUAACAUUUGAACCCGGGGAUGAAUCUUAACAUCACUAAAAGAGGAACAAGCAGACAUCAGAUGUCCUGCUUUGUUGUGCCACCAAGAACCUAACACCAGCCAGGAAAAAUUAUUGCCCCAAACAAAUUUGCACACAAAUCUAGUUAAGCCUGUAUGUCUAGCCAGUUUGUAAAAACACCAGAGAUUUAGGAAUGCAUUAAACAACAUGCUAACUCCAGAAGGUGGAAAAUUCCACAGAAUAAAUAAUCCAGUUUCUUCAGAAAAUUGAAGGUAUAAAAUAAAAGUGAUGAUGGAAUUCUAAGAUCAGAGAAACUUUUUAAAGGACCUUGUUUGUAUCCUCAUUUGAAUGAGACAAAAUGACAUUUUUGAAACAAAAGUUUAAGAUGGACUAGGUAUCAGAUGAUAUUGAGGAAUUAUUAAUUUUGUUAGGUGAAAUAAUGGUAUGGUGGCUUUGUUAAAAAGCCUUUACCUCUCUGAGAGACAUACUAAAGUAUAUGUAGUUGAAAUUAUGACUGGGAUUUACCUGAAAAUAACCCAGACCGGAAAUGCUCUGGGCAGGAAAUAGAUAAAAUGAGCAGAGUGUUCUGCUGAUGCCGGGGAUAGACACACAGGGGCUUGUGUGUCUACUUUGAUGCAUGUUAAAGAAUUUCCAUUGCUGAGGCGAUGGCACAACACCUGUAAUCCCUGCAUCUUGAGACUCUGAGGCAAGAGGCUCCCGAGUUCAAAGCCGGCCUCAGCAACUUAGGCCCUAAGCAACUCAGUGAGGCCCUGUCUCUAAAUAAAAUAUAAAAAGGGCUGGGGAUGUGGCUCAUUGGUUAAGUGCCCCUGGGUUCAAUCCAUGGUACCCCAAAGAAAAAAAAAUUUCCAUAAUAUGAAUUUACAGAAUGAAAGAGAAUGGGAAGAGAGAUUGAAGAAUGCCAGUAUGAACGGUGGGAACUAGAUGGAGGGGGGAGCUUUAUAACUAACUAUCUCAGCAGUAGCAGAAAGAGGGGGAAGUGAUAGGGCAGAAGAGCAGACUGCAGUGCUGUAUUAACAAGGAUCAGGGCAAAAGGAGCCCCCAUUUCCUGUUGACGGGAAUGGAGUCAUUUAGCAUAUGUAACAAAGUUGUUUGUGGUCCCCACCACUUAACACAGCAAUUUUGUUUCCAAGAUUCUAUCCCAGGAAUAUAUCAGCAUGGACUUGAAAAAAAAAUAUAUUCAUCUUGCAACAUUGUAAUAUUAAAAGUCUGGAACAAGAUGUGAUUGAUUAAAUUAUGGUUCAUUCAUUCAGUGAAAUAUUAUGCAGCCUUACAAACAAGGUAAGAUCUGUAAGUGGCUAUCUGGAAAGUUUCCAAAAUCUCUAAUAAAAAUAAACUAAAAUCCAGAAUAUUUAAUAUACAGACACAUAAAUAUGUACAUACAUACAGAAUAUGUGUCUGAAGUUUCAUAAAGAUACACAUAUGCUCAUAUAUAUGUAUAGGCUUUUG